GACGAACGCUGGCGGCGGGCUUAACACAUGCAAGUCGAACGGAAAGGCCCUGCUUUUGUGGGGUUCUCGAGUGGCGAACGGGUGAGUAACACGGGAGUAACCUUCCCUGGACUUGGGGAUAACUUCAGGAAACUGGGGCUAAUACCGGAUAGGAGCUCCUGCUGCAUGGGGGGGGUUGGAAAGUUUGGGCGGUUGGGGAUGGACUCGCGGCUUAUCAGCUUGUUGGUGGGGUAGUUGCUUACCAAGGCUUCGACGGGUGGCCGGCCUGAGAGGGUGACCGGCCACAUUGGGACUGAGAUACGGCCCAGACUCCUACGGGAGGCAGCAGUGGGGAAUAUUGCACAAUGGGCGGAAGCCUGAUGCAGCAACGCCGCGUGCGGGAUGACGGCCUUCGGGUUGUAAACCGCUUUCGCCUGUGACGAAGCGUGAGUGACGGUAAUGGGUAAAGAAGCACCGGCUAACUACGUG
rnacentral:rRNA from 1 species